rnacentral:tRNA from 1 species
CGGUAUAGCUCAGCUGGUAGAGCAUCUGAUUUGUAAUCAGAGGGCCGGGGGUUCGAGUCCCUCUGCCGGC